rnacentral:lncRNA from 1 species
AGCAGAGGGUCCUCCAGGCACUCUGAGAUCAGAGGUGGUGCUAGCUACAGGCUUCCCUUUGGGAAACUUUCAUGGAGGAGGUGACCCUUGAGAUACCAUCCUAUGGAGCCUCUGCUACGGGUCAGUUUGUGACUCCAUCGGUCCAGAUGUCCUCCAGGGGGAAUCCUAUCCCCGUGCCUCUUCCCACAUCUGUGGUGGGUACUUUCCCGGGUAUCAAGGGAAGAGCAAUGAAUCUACAGUUUAUACUUUCAAGGGGUUCCAAGUAGACCACAAAACAAAAGGAAGAAGAAGCCACUGAUACUGAGGUAUGGGGAUGAAACUGCGGGACACAAAAUGUGGUCUGGGAGCCAGAGAAAGUCAAGAGAGUCAUUUAAGUCAUUUUUACUGACCCUGCACGGAACUUGUAGAACCACAUUCUUUACAAAGCAGCAAAAGGAAAUUAGUGUCCAGGCACUGAUGCCUCAUGACUAAAAUCAAACUCAGGAGAACAAAAUACAGACUCUGCACUUAAUCAGGGUAAAAUCUGGCCAGCCAAAUAUAUUCAUGAUAUUAAUCACAAGCAGGGAUUCCAGGGGCAUAUCCAUUCCACCCAAGCACAGCAAAAAAUGGGACAAAUAGCUUAGUCAGACUGUUCUUCCCUGCACACCCAGCAUGCAGAGGCUCUCUCCAUUCAGUUGCAUGCGCUGAAUUGGUCUCAACAACGAAGAACCCGGACAAGUCCCAGCCCAGGCUAGGAAACAAAACAAAACAAGUACACAGACUUCGCUCUCUCAUUUUUCCCUAAAUGUAGACAAGCUAGAAGCAAAGUUGAUGGUUUCAAACAAUAUCAAACUGACCUUGGCCCAGUCCG